GUUAAAAUUCAGCCCUAUGGAGUCUAAUUUGAAACUUCACGUGACAUGGCUGUCUGAUUUAGGAUUACUUUUAAAAAGGAAAAUGAAAAGAAUGAGGCAGUCAUGUCAAAGUAACACAAUGGAAAAUGAAAUUAGCGGCAGCUGCCCUGGAAUAUUCUUCUUUGUCUCUGAUGGACUGCACAACAAAAGCAGGUGAGGUUACAGGAUAGGUCUCACAUAGUAGCGGUUUGUAUCUGCACCUACCAAUUUAUAUCCCAACUAGUUUUCACAUCCAAAUCAUCUCACCACUGAGCGUGAUCUCCAGACACAGCGGGAGCCACAGCAGCUGCACUGACCCAAGUCCGUAAGCAAGUGAGCAGACAAGGGAAGGUGCCUCAAAGGUCAGAAGAUAAGUGUAUCUGCAAGGUCUGCCCCACCAUUACCUGUGCUGUUCCCGCUAUGCUUCUUCCCAAGUGCUGUGGACUAAAUGCUUGCGUGUCCCCCAGAUGUAUAUUUGGAGGCAGGAAUUUUUUUUUUUUUUUUUUCCCCCUGAACUCCCAACUUAUGGAAGUUCCCAGGCCAGGGACUGGAUCUGAGCCACAGCUGCAGUAACAACCAGACCCUUAACCCGCCGUGCCUCAGCAGCAGCAACUCCUGGAGGUAGGAAUUUUAGGCAGUAAUUAGGUCACAAAGGUGGAGGCUUCAACAAUGAGAUUAGUGCCCUUUUCUCAGAGAAAUAUUCUCUCCUUCAGCCAUGUGAAGAUACACCAAGAAGGUGGCCACCUUCGAAUCAUCAAACAGGACCUCAUCAGACACGGAUCUGCCAGCACUUUGAUCUUGGACCUCCAGCUUCUAGAACUAUGAAAAAUCAGUAUCUGUUGUUUCAAUAAUAUUUGUGUUACAGCAGCCAGAACUAAAAUAUCAAAUAUUCUGUUCUAAAUGCCUGACUACUACUACAUGCAGUGUUUUAUAAAAUUCACAAGUUCUUUUAUGGUUGAUACAAAUGUCUCAACACUCACAAACAAAGGACUGAGACUCUAAGAGGAAAGGCUCUUGUUCAUCUGCCAUCUGAUGCUAAGAGGAUAACGGACACCAAUGAAACUGGCCUUGAUGACAUGUCUGUGACAGUAAGAACAUCGACAAUCACAACUGUCCACAGAGCCCGGGCCAGGGACUCAUCUAAGAGCUUUACUCACAAAAAUCCUAUCAAGCAGAUUCUACUGCUCUCCCCGUUUAACGUAGGAAGAGACUGAGUCAAUGAGAGAUGAAUUCAUCUGUCCAGGGUUUCACAGCUAGGAAGAGAUUGGCACCAAGGCAUCUGGUGACAGAGCCGGAGCUUCUCAUCACUGCACUAAAAUCCCAUGCCUCCCUAAAAAUGAAAUAGAAAUCAAAUUAGGAUAGUGCUGAUUCCAACACAGGAAAUCUUAAAAACAAUGCUGAACUCACAUAGGCAAUGACUGGAUAUAACCCCGGAGUACUAGUCUAAAGUUUGGCCCAACACAUACUAAAUACAAUUAGGCCCCUUCUUCUAUUGGCAGAUGUAAUCAGAUGGAAUGGAAACCUUGAUGGGAUGAGAAACAAGGUAUCUUUAACAACUUGGCAGAUAACAAUUCUAACCUGCUAGGGCAGAGCCUGGUGACAGGCCACUGCUAAUAAUCACUUUGCAGAACUUUUCCCUGUAGCUCAUCAAUAAUGUGUGAAACUGCCUUCCCCUUCGUAUCCUUUUUUUUUUUUUUUCUCUUGAUGCCAUCUCUUGAAGGCUAGUCCUUCACCAAGUCCAAGUAUUUCUAUAGCACCCCUCCAUGUCAAAUGGCAGACACUGCCUGAUUAUAAUUGGCUGUCCUCUGCUAUUACACAGACACACUAUUAAAAAGGCAAUUGCUUAUCAGAACCCCUGUUCUGAAGGGAGUGCCCAAUAAGAACCUUCCUGGCAUUUUUGAGGGGAAGCAAUCAUUUGUGCUACCAGAUCAGAAUAAACAUAUCAGAUGUAAUUUCUUUUGAAGACAUAAUCAAGCCCAAUACUACGAAAUGACUUCUCUGAACAAAAGCAACAGAAUGAUGAGCAAACUUACAGUUUUAACAUCAUUUAAUGCCGGUGAGGUAUUCUUAAAAAGACCGUGACCACGGGAGACGAUAUAUAGCUGCGGAGCUAUUCGGUGAAGGGGACAGAACAAACAAGGUUUAAGUACUGUUACCAGCUCCUGUUGGUGACUGGUUGCAUUGUCUUGAACAACUUGCUGAGACUCAGUUUCUUCAACUUUGAACUGCAAAUAGUGGUAAUGCCAUAAGUUGCUAUGAGACUUCUGAGAGAAUACAAGUACCUAGCACAGGGCCUGUAAUAAAACAGAACCAACUCCCCCACCAGAAUUCAACCUCCAUGAUGGAAAAAACUCUUGUCUGUUUGUUCUCCAGAAUGAAAUAAUUUAUUGCUCAAUAAAUAGUAGGUCGUGAUGAUCAUUGUACAACGAUAAAUGUAAUAAGAUUCAUUGAGUAAUUUAAAAAAAAGAAAUGCAUUUCCAAUAAAGGUUGAAUUUUUACAUUAAAAAAAAUAAUAAUCUGGGGAGAACAGAGAUUGCAAAAGCAUUGCCCUUUAAAGAGCUUAUUUGAUCCACGGUUAGGAUAUACAUACUUUCAUUAGAAUCAGUAAAAUAAUGCUCCAAAAUUUUAUGCUAAGUCCACCAGGAUAACUAAAAAAAAUGGACAGCCGUUCCUUGUCCCCUUCCUUAAUAUAUUUCCUAUUCACAUGAAAACUAGUUGAAUAUAAGAAAAGAACAAAAGUUGAAACUAGGUGGUAAGACAUCACAGACCCAGUGAAGUGCAGGUGUUAAGAAACAUUUUUCUUCCCAUUUAACUGACAUCAUCAGGAGCAUACUUACCUAUAAUUUUGAAUUUUCUUCUUUUAUUUAAACAUUUACAUUGUAACAUGACCUUUUCUCACGUUAUUAAGUUUCUUCUGAAAAUUUUUUAGUGGUUGCGUGAUCAUUAUAUUGUAUGAAUAUGUCAUCAUUUUCUUUAGUCAUUCCCCUACUCUGAGGCAUUUUGUUGUUUCCAUUGGGGGCUACUGUAAAUAAGAGUGUAAGGAACAUCUUUGUAUGUAUAUUUUGAAUAGUUACUACUGAUGUAUAACUAACAUAAUAAAAUGACAAAGUGUAAAAAUAUAGUUAAAGAGCAGUAAAAGAAUAAAUGUACUGAUUGCUUCUUUCCCUUUUUUGGGGGGUGGUGGGCAAGGAGAAAAAAAUAGCUUUAUUGCUUUGCCAAGCAAAGGAGGCCACAGCAGGCUGAUGCCCUAAAGACUGCCUUCUGAUUGCUUUCUUUCCUUCGAGCAAUGCUGAGCCAUGUUAACUUCUUUUUUCCAGUGAUGUACUAAGAAAUGUUUUUAUUUGGACUAGGUAAACCCCCCAAACCACCUAACAUCUUUGUUCUUUCCAAAAUUUAGUACUAAAAACAAAAGAAGACUUUGUGAUGAUAAAUGCCUCAAACUCCUCAUUUUAGUUUACUAAGUCACUUACAAGGAAUCCCUCUUUCCUGUAUUGACCACAGAGUCUACUUUUUUGUCAUCUUCUUCUUAAUACUAAUUCUUUUAGGUCAGGAAGAUUCACCAGCAUUAUAAUAGAAGGAGCAACAGAUCUCCAGUGAGAAGUAGGAUUUGCCUUAGCUGAUGGCUGUGUGGUCCUGCCUCAACAUUUCUGAGUCUGAAGGUUCUCAUUAGAUUUCAAUAAAGCACUUAUUGUAUAAAUCACAUGAACUAUAAAGCACCAUACAAAUUUUAGAUAUUAAUUCUAUUAUUCCAUUAUUGAAGUAACUGCCCACUGUCACUUAAGAUAAUCAGAAUUUCAGGUCCUCAAGUCUGUCAGAAACCAAAAAUGACAGCAAAGUUUAAGAAUUUGGGACUUGAGAGAAAACCAAGCAGAUUUCUGUAAUCUACUUUAAAAUAAGAGAGUGUUAAUCUAAUUAGUACAUCCUUGUCAACUUUUCUUUUUUUCUUUUUAGGGCCGUACCAGCAGCAUAUGGAAGUUCCCAGGCUAGGGGUUGGAUCAGAGCUGCAGCUGCAGGUCUACACCACAGCCAUGGCAGUGCUGAAUCUAAGGCGCAUCUGCGACCCACCCCACGGCUUACAGCAAUGCUGGAUGCUUAACCCACUGAGAGAGGCCAGUGGAUUUUCCUCUGGCAUUUUCUUAAGUAAUCGCUGGUAUCAAGCUGAGUUCUAUAAUUUUACCAGUAAAAGCUUCAACACAAACCCUUCAAAGCACUUGACAAUUCAAAAAUGAUUCUCGGAGUUCCCGUCGUGGCGCAGUGGUUAACGAAUCCGACUAGGAACCAUGAGGUUGCGGGUUCGGUCCCUGCCCUUGCUCAGUGGGUUAACGAUCCGGCGUUGCCGUGAGCUGUGGUGUAGGUUGCAGACACGGCUCGGAUCCCGAGUUGCUGUGGCUCUGGUGUAGGCCAGCGGCUCCAGCUCCGAUUCAACCCCUGGCCUGGGAACCUCCAUAUGCCUCGGGAGCGGCCCAAGAAAUAGCAACAACGACAAAAAGAAAAAAAAAAAAAAAUGAUUCUCUUGGCUUCAAUUUUAUACUGAUUUUGUAAAAUGAGAGGCAGGGAAUGGCCACUAAGUGCAUACACACACAAAAUAUUCUAAGAACUCUGGUUUACUAGGAAUGGAGAUGCUGGAAGUUUGCGGUAGGAAAGCAAUUCCCAUGGUAUGGUCUGAAUGCUUGUGCCCCCAACACCCAAGUUCACAUGUGAAGUUUUAAUCCCCAAUGUGAUGGUUGGAAAUGGGACCUUUGGGAGGUAAUGAGGUCUAUAUUAGAUUUUCAUGAAGUCACAGGGGUACAGCCUCCUGAGGGAUUAGUAUCCUUAUAAGAAAAGGAAGAGUCAGGAGAGCUUCCCCCCUUUUUAUCAUGUGAGGACAAAGCAAAAAGACAAGCCAGAUCUAAAAGCCAGAACUCCACUAAGCUGGCAACCUCAUCUUAGAUGUACAACUUCCGUCAGUGUGAGAAAUACAUUUCUGUUGACUAAGCACCUAGCUUAGGGUAUUCUGAUAUGAAGCCCUCAGCUAAGACCUUUUUUAUACUCUGUUCUAUAUUCAUAUUAACUAGGCCUGAGUGUGCAGGUGCAUAAUCUUUUGCGAAGAAAACUAUUCAAAUAACGGUGCACCUCCCACAGGAAGCUUGGUCCCAGCCCUCAGCACCAGGAAUGUGUGUGGAGGCCUCCUGCAGCUGGGAAACAGCAGUACUUUUCCUCCCCAACCCGAGAAGGAAUCAGCAAGGACUAGAAAUUUCUAUGGUUCUCAUCCCUAAUUUGAAUUUGAAAAAUGUUGCUGUUAGCAAAGAAAGAAAAAUAACAUAGACAGCUCUUUUGGCAGAUAUUCCUUGUGUCCACAUACAUUGAGGAAGCUGUCUUUUUUUUUUUUUUUUUUUUUUUUUCUUUUUUUGGCUGCACCAACAGCAUGUGGUAGUUCCAGGCCAGGGAUCAAAUCCAUG
ensembl:lncRNA